UACGGGGGGGGCAAGCGUUGUUCGGAAUUACUGGGCGUAAAGGGCUCGUAGGUGGCCAACUAAGUCAGACGUGAAAUCCCCAGGCUCAACUUGGGAACUGCGUCUGAUACUGGAUGGCUAGAGAUUGGGAGAGGGAUGCGGAAUUCCAGGUGUAGCGGUGAAAUGCGUAGAUAUCUGGAGGAACACCGGUGGCGAAGGCGGCAUCCUGGACCAACACUGACGCUGAGGAGCGAAAGCCAGGGGAGCAAACGGG
rnacentral:rRNA from 1 species